UAAGAAUAAGAUCUAAGAAUAGUAAGAACCAGUACACAUUAAUUACUAAUUAAAUCUUCACUAUAACACAUCUUUAUCAUUCAAAUAAUUGGAACCUGUGUAAACCAGGUCAUUUGUGGUGUCACCGCAACAAAACCUUGUCUAGACAGAACUCUACACCUAUUCUCUGAUUUUCUUCCAGAAACCUGCGUUUAGAUUUAAACCUAUGUAUAAUGAGUCAGAAUUAAUGAAUUUAACACAAUGCCUAUGGUUAAAAUUCAAGAGGAAAAAAGGAUAUCAUUAACAAAGUAUAUACCAAUAAGAAUAAGAAGAGGACGGCCGGACGGGACACCAUAGAUGGAAUUCUGUAAGGUAAAGCAAACCGAUAGGCUAGACCUAGAACUAUUCUUUCCCAUACCUGUAAACAGCAAACCAAUUUAUCCACAUUAAAAAUACACACGACAGUCUUUAUUUCGCACAAGAGUAAAUAAAAUAGAUGAUGUGCAAAGAAUAGAAUGCACUCGAAGUGAUGAAAGCACUGGUUGUUUCAUUGCAGGGAAAGGGAGCAGAGUUUUUUAUGGCCUUCAAAGUCUGACAGGAUGAAAGUGCUGCACAAAAAUUUUCUCUGCAGAAGAUGUGUAGAAGGGCAACUGAGUUCAAAUUGCUAUGGGUAGGGUGUACCGUCUACUGCUCGGUCCAAGUAUAAGGCUUUGUUUAUUCAUAUGGUUUAGGAGGGUAAUGUAGGGGAUACUGUUGUUAAGUAGAGGCAUGUCUCUACUGGGGUGUCUUAACCUGACGGUACUUACAAAUUACAAUACACAGUUAAGGGAUGUAAUGAUCUGUUGAGUUAAUAAUAUUUCUGCUUUUAUCAAAAAUGGAAUGCACCCGAAACAUAGCAAUGUAAAAAUACUUAAAAUGCUACUAACCUUUUCUACCACCCCUGUAUCUAUAUCACUCUUCCCCAGAUCAAUUCUUUAAAAGAAUAAAUUACCACUUACAUCUUCUCCAGAAACAAGCCUACAAAACAAUCAACAAUCUUUUAGAAAAUCAUAGAUGAAUUGUUUAAAUUGAGGGAAAUUUAGACUUAACCCCCCAGAUAAUGGACCUCUUUUGAUUAAAC
rnacentral:lncRNA from 1 species